rnacentral:rRNA from 1 species
UUGGAGGGCAAGUCUGGUGCCAGCAGCCGCGGUAAUUCCAGCUCCAAUAGCGUAUAUUAAAGUUGUUGCAGUUAAAAAGCUCGUAGUUGAAUUUCGGGAUUGACACAUCGGUCGUGCCUUAAGGGGUAUGAACUGGUGUAGUCAAUUUCUCACCUUCUGGAGAACCGCAAUGCCCUUAAUUGGGUGUCGCGGGGAACCAGGACCUUUACUUUGAAAAAAUUAGAGUGUUUAAAGCAGGCAUUUUGCUUGAAUACAUUAGCAUGGAAUAAUAAAAUAGGACGGCAUGAUUCUAUUUUGUUGGUUUCUAGGAUCACCGUAAUGAUUAAUAGGGAUAGUUGGGGGCAUUAGUAUUCAAUUGUCAGAGGUGAAAUUCUUGGAUUUAUUGAAGACUAACUACUGCGAAAGCAUUUGCCAAGGAUGUUUUCAUUAAUCAAGAACGAAAGUUAGGGGAUCGAAGACGAUCAGAUACCGUCGUAGUCUUAACCAUAAACUAUGCCGACUAGGAAUCAGACGAUGUUAAUUUUUUAAUGACUCGUUUGGCACCUUACGGGAAACCAAAGUGUUUGGGUUC